UACGAAGGGGGCUAGCGUUGCUCGGAAUCACUGGGCGUAAAGCGCACGUAGGCGGCUUAUUAAGUCAGGGGGGAAAUCCUGGAGCUCAACUCCAGAACUGCCUUUGAUACUGAUGAGCUUGAGUUCGGGAGAGGUGAGUGGAACUGCGAGUGUAGAGGUGAAAUUCGUAGAUAUUGGGAAGAACACCGAUGGCGAAGGCAGCCAUCUGGACCGACACUGACGCUGAGGCGCGAAAGCGUGGGGAGCAAACAGG
rnacentral:rRNA from 1 species